rnacentral:rRNA from 1 species
UACGUAGGGGGCUAGCGUUGUCCGGAAUCAUUGGGCGUAAAGCGCGUGUAGGCGGUCCGGUAAGUCCGCUGUGAAAGUCGGGGGCUCAACCCUCGGAUGCCGGUGGAUACUGUCGGGCUUGAGUACGGAAGAGGCGAGUGGAAUUCCUGGUGUAGCGGUGAAAUGCGCAGAUAUCAGGAGGAACACCAAUGGCGAAGGCAGCUCGCUGGGACGGUACUGACGCUGAGACGCGAAAGCGUGGGGAGCGAACAGG